GACGAACGCUGGCGGCGUGCUUAACACAUGCAAGUCGAACGGAAAGGCCCUGCUUUUGUGGGGUGCUCGAGUGGCGAACGGGUGAGUAACACGUGAGUAACCUGCCCUUGACUUUGGGAUAACUUCAGGAAACUGGGGCUAAUACCGGAUAGGAGCUCCUGCUGCAUGGUGGGGGUUGGAAAGUUUCGGCGGUUGGGGAUGGACUCGCGGCUUAUCAGCUUGUUGGUGGGGUAGUGGCUUACCAAGGCUUUGACGGGUAGCCGGCCUGAGAGGGUGACCGGCCACAUUGGGACGGAGAUACGGCCCAGACUCCUCCGGGAGGCAGCAGUGGGGAAUAUUGCACAAUGGGCGGAAGCCUGAUGCAGCAACGCCGCGUGCGGGAUGACGGCCUUCGGGUUGUAAACCGCUUUCGCCUGUGACGAAGCGUGAGUGACGGUAAUGGGUAAAGAAGCACCGGCUAACUACGUG
rnacentral:rRNA from 1 species